AAUACUUCAUUUAAAAAUAUAUAUUAGCAAAAAAACAUUUAUUUUUACUGGUUUUGCUUUAUCGUUAUGGGGAUUUGUGUGAAGAUUGAUGAAUGGGAAAAAACAAUUUAAUCCAUUUUAUAAUAAGGCUGUAACGUAACAAAGUGGAAAAAGUCAAGGGGUCUGAAUACUUUCCGAAUGCACUGUACGUGUUCUAUUUACAGAGUCCAAUCCCAUCAACAUCAGCAGUGGAAUGAACAUCAAACUCAGCACCCGGAACUAGUGUAAGUCACCUUUGCUAAAUCUAUCCAUGACUCAAUGAUGAGCAAAUAAAUAUACUGGAGCUAGGCAAUAACACGGCCCAUGUCUUGCUGUCAUAGUUUCUGUGUUAAUAAGUAGGUUACAACUUCUACUGUAGUUUUCUCUGUAUUAUGGAGGCAUAGUUGAUUGUUUAUGCAAAGGUUGAAAUCUAAAUUGGAGAAAAGUAGAGGUAUUAGUAAGGAAGGGAUGGUGUGGGUGGCUGACUGGCGUCUGUUGGGGGUUGGUAUUGUGUGUGAAGGUUAGUAUGAAUGAUCUAUUGGCACUGGAGGGGUGGGUGGAUAUAGUACCUAGUACUGGUCCAGAAGACACGUAGUAAUUGUACUGGUGCAUGUCCUGUAUUGAUGAUAUCUAAAAGCAAAUAUAUGUUGUCUGUCUUUGAAGGCGCUAAUGCAUAUGUGUUCCUCCGUUCUCAAGUACAUCUGUGAUGUACACAGCUGGACAUUGGAGGGGGAGGAAGUCCACUGUCAACACCCUGACUGGUACGAUGAUGAUCGUGGCAAGAAGAAGUGGCUGUCCGUGGACUCAGUUGUGAUCUCUCGGCAGUUGUGUUGGACAAACGUUUGACAACAGAUCUCUCACACAUGACCAGAUUCAAACAUACAGGCCAUCUGGAAGCAUUCCACAGUGCUCUACUGAAGUAUACCCCAAAGCUCCAGCGUUUUGUACUCCUAUGCAUGAAGGUGCGGACUCAUCUUGCUAUCCUGGAGCAUAAUGAGAAUGUAGGACGCAAACAAGCCAGGACAGCCAAAGUAGACUUGCAGUACAAAGAAAUCUUCUGCAGAGGUCGAAGCAGUGGGUGGUGAAGAAAGUGUACAAGCCCAGAACCUAUCACUCAGGAAGAGGCAAGACGGUGGUCUACAAGCAGCCAGAGUAACAGCUCUCCAAACCCAACAUCCCUGCCGACAACGCCACAGCGCCAAAGCCUGCCGAAACCAGCUGUCAUUGCCCAAUACAAGGCAAGGUUCACCAGCUGAAGAACAUUCUGGAACUUGCCUGGAACAUUCAACCAACGCAACAUCUAUAUUCAGUUAGACUGAUGUUGUAGUAUAACAUAGAAUGCCCAGUAUUCUCACAUUGUAUUGUGGUAUAGAUAUUUCUAGCUCUUGUACAUAUGUAUAUAAUGGAGUUUGAUAAAAUGCUUUAUAUAAUAUGUUUUUAAAGUGUACUGACAAGUUACUAAAUGUUUACAGUUGCAUCAGAAACCAAUACUGCUCUACCAAGCAAAAGCGCAGUAAUGGCACAUUUGGCCAAAAAUGACUUACUGACAUUUGUUAUACAUUAAAUACAUGCUUUAUCAUGUGGACAAAUAUCCUGCUUCUAUUGUGUUGUGUUAUGGAGAAAAUGGGGGGAAAGGGAAAAAGCAGUAACUGCCAUCACUCACGUUAGCUACAGCCUGUUACCUCGGUUUCACCGAGUUUUGGGCUGCAGUUUCUACGGUUUAACUUGGUAUUAUAUAUUGUUCUUUGCUGAUACAAGUAUCAGCCUAUAUGAAACUGACAGCCACAUACAAAUAAACCUAUAAAACAAAUUGUCAUGGAAACAUAUUCCAGUGGGCACACCAAGCAAGAAGGCAGUAAUGACCAUCAGAGGAGGGUCAAUAUGAAUAAAACAAUAACCUGAUAGUAAGACAACAGAUAACCACAUCUCCAAUGAUCUGCCAUUUGGCUGGACAAUAAAAAAAACUUGAAAGCUAUUUUUUUCAGUUUCACUCUGAGCAGUUACUGCUUUUUUGCUUGGUAGGGAAGAAUAAAGUGUUGACUUCAACUUCUGGAUCAAUUUAUUGUGAUAUUCAUGAAAUGUAUUUGGACAUAACUAGCUACAAUCCUACUGCUAAAACAAAUGAUUUGUUUUACCUUU